rfam:Felis catus isolate Cinnamon breed Abyssinian chromosome C2, whole genome shotgun sequence.
GCCUGGUUGGCUCAGUUGGAAGAGCAUGCGACUCUUGAUCUCAAGGUUGUGAGUCUGAGCCUCACAGUGGAUG